rnacentral:rRNA from 1 species
ACGGGAGGCAGCAGUGGGGAAUAUUGCACAAUGGGCGAAAGCCUGAUGCAGCGACGCCGCGUGAGUGAAGAAGUAUUUCGGUAUGUAAAGCUCUAUCAGCAGGGAAGAAAAAUGACGGUACCUGACUAAGAAGCACCGGCUAAAUACGUGCCAGCAGCCGCGGUAAUACGUAUGGUGCAAGCGUUAUCCGGAUUUACUGGGUGUAAAGGGAGCGCAGGCGGUACGGCAAGUCUGAUGUGAAAGCCCGGGGCUCAACCCCGGUACUGCAUUGGAAACUGUCGAACUAGAGUGCCGGAGGGGUAAGCGGAAUUCCUAGUGUAGCGGUGAAAUGCGUAGAUAUUAGGAGGAACACCAGUGGCGAAGGCGGCUUACUGGACGAUAACUGACGCUGAGGCUCGAAAGCGUGGGGAGCAAACAGGAUUAGAUACCCUGGUA